rnacentral:rRNA from 1 species
UAGGGAAUCUUCCGCAAUGGACGCAAGUCUGACGGAGCCACGCCGCGUGAGUGAAGAAGGAUUUCGGUUCGUAAAACUCUGUUGUUAUCGCAGCACAGCGCAUAGCGUCACUGUUAUGCGUGUUACGGUAUCUAACCAGAACGCCACGGCUAACUACGUGCCAGCAGCCGCGGUAAUACGUAGGUGGCAAGCGUUGUCCGGAUUUAUUGGGCGUAAAGCGAGCGCAGGCGGUCAAUUAAGUCUGAUGUGAAAGCCCCCGGCUCAACCGGGGAGGGUCAUUGGCAACUGGUUGACUUGAGUGCAGAAGUGGAGAGUGGAAUUCCAUGUGUCGCGGUGAAAUGCGUAGAUAUAUGGAGGAACACCAGUGGCGAAGGCGACUCUCUGGUCUGUAACUGACGCUGAGGCUCGAAAGCGUGGGUAGCAAACAGG